GAUGAACGCUGGCGGCGUGCCUAAUACAUGCAAGUCGAGCGAACAGACGAGGAGCUUGCUCCUCUGACGUUAGCGGCGGACGGGUGAGUAACACGUGGAUAACCUACCUAUAAGACUGGGAUAACUUCGGGAAACCGGAGCUAAUACCGGAUAAUAUAUUGAACCGCAUGGUUCAAUAGUGAAAGACGGUUUUGCUGUCACUUAUAGAUGGAUCCGCGCCGCAUUAGCUAGUUGGUAAGGUAACGGCUUACCAAGGCAACGAUGCGUAGCCGACCUGAGAGGGUGACCGGCCACAUUGGGACUGAGAUACGGCCCAGACUCCUACGGGAGGCAGCAGUGGGGAAUAUUGCACAAUGGGCGGAAGCCUGAUGCAGCAACGCCGCGUGCGGGAUGACGGCCUUCGGGUUGUAAACCGCUUUCGCCUGUGACGAAGCGUGAGUGACGGUAAUGGGUAAAGAAGCACCGGCUAACUACGUG
rnacentral:rRNA from 1 species